GCUCCCCAAACAGACGCACACCCAGCCACACGCGCGCGCGCGCGCGCGCACACACACACACACACACACACACAUACACACACACACACGCACGCACCCCCGCGCGCACACGCCCGCCCGCUCUGCCUCUGCGCCCUCCAUCCCGGCUCGCUCAUUCUCUCGCCCUCUCGCUUCCCCUGCGGUCUCUCGCUCUGCGCGCACACACCACACACACGCACACGCACACACACGCGCGCACACACGCAGCCGGCACAGGCAGCAGCGGCGGCGGCGGCGGCGGCUGCUCAAGUCAGGACGAACCUCUCUAGGUACCUUCUUGAGAAGGCGGCGGCGGCGGCGGCAGCGGCAGCCGGAGCAUCCCUCCUCCGCCGGAGAGGGAGCACCGCCGAGAGUUUCCAUUCCCUUUGCCGUUCCCUUCCCCCUCCUUUUAUUUUUCGAGAGAAUUUCUUCUUCGCUUAUUGGUUUAAUUUGAUUUUGAAAAAUUUUGGUUGCUUGUGUGUGUGCUUCCCCCCCCUUCCUCAUUUUAUUUGCAUCCAGAGCAUGGCGGGCUGCGGGCUGUCGGAAGAUACCUUCUUCUCUUCCUUCUUUUACAACUACGGCUCCUCCUGGGAAACCCCUUCCAACCAGCGGGAACCGGAAAGAGAGGCAGGAGCCGGCACGUUACCCCGAACAACUCCAGGCAAAACCAGGGAACUCGAGCGCAACCUUCCCCCAAGUCGCCGCGGGCGCCGCGCCCCUGUGCGCCCGGCGCCUGCCCGCCCUCCAGUUGCGCCGAGGGGCUGCAGAGCUGUGAGUCCCCCCGCGACGUGCUGUUCCCCCUCCACUUCCCCCGGGGCCCCGAGCCACCUCUUUCCCUAAAAUGGCUGCAAUCUCAAGUGGAGGCGUCCCCUGACCCCGAGGAGGGGGUGCAGAGUGGAUGCUCCGGUGCCCAUGACCCCACGCCUCCCCCGGCGCGCACAAGCACCCCACAAACACACACACUUAACUUUGAUGACUGUGCAAUGCAGUCCGGCUGCAUCGUGCCCUCGACGCUCCCCGCCGCCGGCCUGCAGGUGUGCUUGUCGGUGUGACUUGGGGGGCGCGGAGAAGCUGGGGGUAGACGCCGGAAGGGGGGCGUGGAAGAUGGGUGUUAGCGGGCCACGGGUAACCUGGAGAGACAGGCGUGUGCUCAGGGUCUAGGGGUGCAAAAGCUAUUCUGGGAGCCAGAGCGAGAAAGAGAAAGGGGAAAAAAUACCUUUUAAUUAAAUAACUGUUGUAGUCUGCUGCCCCCACCGCUUGUUUGGUGAAAGUCUACAGGCAUCUGUCAUUUCCAAACUACACGGGGAAGUGGAGCUGGAGUCGAGGGAGGGGAGAGGGGGUGUGUGUGUUGUGUAUGUAUGUCUGUCUGUCUGUGUGUACGCGCACGAGUCCAGGCUGGGGAAAGUUAGGGCGGGAGGCGAGGUGGAGGAGCAACGGUGAAAGGCAGCAGCAACUCGGUGGGCGGUCCGGGGUGUGGGGGAUUCCCGGGCCCGCAGAGCGAGAGCUGCCGGGGGAGCGGGCCGGAGGGGCGGGUGCCGGGGCGGGGGCGUCGAGGAAAAGAACUCGUUCUGCCCGUCUCUCCCGGCCACUGGGGCGUCUCUUCUUACCAGCUCGCUCGCCAGCCACGGCGGCUAGCCCGGCUGCCCGCCGCACUCGCCGGCUCUGGCGCGCUCCUUCUUGGGCCCGGGGGACAGCGCGCUCCUGCGAGCUCCGGGCAAAAAAAAAAAAAAAAAAGCCAACCCCGCAAAGCAAAACAACUGAAAAAUGAGCUCCGCCGCCCCCGCAGCACCCCCAGUUUCCAAAAAGCUGAAAUCGCCGAAUUCGUAGUCUCCGGGCGAAG
rnacentral:lncRNA from 1 species